CCUACGGGAGGCCGCAGUGAGGAAUAUUGGUCAAUGGGCGGAAGCCUGAACCAGCCAAGUCGCGUGAGGGAUUAAGGCCCUACGGGUCGUGAACCUCUUUUGCCGGGGAGCAAGGGCCGGGACGAGUCCCGGUCCGGAGAGUACCCGGAGACAACGCAUCGGCUAACUCCGUGCCAGCAGCCGCGGUAAUACGGAGGAUGCGAGCGUUAUCCGGAUUUAUUGGGUUUAAGGGGUGGGUAGGCGGGCUUUUAAGUCAGCGGUAAAAAUUCGGGGCUCAACCCCGUCCGGCCGUUGAAACUGGGGGCCUUGAGUGGGCGAGAAGAAGGCGGAAUGCGUGGUGUAGCGGUGAAAUGCAUAGAUAUCACGCAGAACCCCGAUUGCGAAGGCAGCCUUCCGGCGCCCUACUGACGCUGAGGCACGAAAGUGCGGGGAUCGAACAGGAUUAGAUACCCCGGUAGUC
rnacentral:rRNA from 1 species